CACAAGCAUAUGCUGAAUCUCGGAUUAUCCGAGUACGGAGGAACCAGUUUUGGGGUUAAUCCACAGUUAUUUGUGGUAGGGCACCUUCUAGCCCGCACCCGUCAGCUAACUUCGGAAGCAAACCAAGGAAGGAGUG
rnacentral:sRNA from 2 species